UACGUAGGGUGCGAGCGUUAAUCGGAAUUACUGGGCGUAAAGCGUGCGCAGGCGGUCCGCUAAGACCGAUGUGAAAUCCCCGGGCUUAACCUGGGAACUACAUUGGUGACUGGCAGGCUGGAGUCUGGCAGAGGGGGGUAGAAUUCCACGUGUAGCAGUGAAAUGCGUAGAGAUGUGGAGGAACACCGAUGGCGCAAGGCAGCCCCCUGGGUCAAGACUGGACGCUCAUGCACGAAAGGCGUGGGGAGCAAACGAGGAU
rnacentral:rRNA from 1 species